rnacentral:rRNA from 1 species
GACGAACGCUGGCGGCGUGCUUAACACAUGCAAGUCGAACGGUAAGGCCCUUCGGGGUACACGAGUGGCGAACGGGUGAGUAACACGUGGGUGAUCUGCCCUGCACUUCGGGAUAAGCCUGGGAAACUGGGUCUAAUACCGGAUAGGACCACUGCCUGCAUGGGUGGUGGUGGAAAGCUUUUGCGGUGUGGGGAUGGGCCCGCGGCCUAUCAGCUUGUUGGUGGGGUGAUGGCCUACCAAGGCGACGACGGGUAGCCGGCCUGAGAGGGUGACCGGCCACAGUGGGACGGAGAUACGGCCCAGACGCCUACGGGAGGCAGCAGUGGGGAAUAUUGCACAAUGGGCGCAAGCCUGAUGCAGCGACGCCGCGUGAGGGAUGACGGCCUUCGGGUUGUAAACCUCUUUCAGCACCGACGAAGCGCAAGUGACGGUAGGUGCAGAAGAAGGACCGGCCAACUACGUGCCAGCCGCCGCCGUAA